GAUGAACGCUGGCGGCGUGCCUAAUACAUGCAAGUAGAACGCUGAAGGAGGAGCUUGCUCUUCUGGAUGAGUUGCGAACGGGUGAGUAACGCGUAGGUAACCUGCCUGGUAGCGGGGGAUAACUAUUGGAAACGAUAGCUAAUACCGCAUGACAACAGUUAUUGCAUGAUAACUGUUUAAAAGGGGCAACUGCUCCACUACCAGAUGGACCUGCGUUGUAUUAGCUAGUUGGUGAGGUAACGGCUCACCAAGGCGACGAUACAUAGCCGACCUGAGAGGGUGAUCGGCCACACUGGGACUGAGACACGGCCCAGACUCCUACGGGAGGCAGCAGUAGGGAAUCUUCGGCAAUGGACGGAAGUCUGACCGAGCAACGCCGCGUGAGUGAAGAAAGUUUUCGGAUCGUAAAGCUCUGUUGUAAGAGAAGAACGAGUGUGAGAGUGGAAAGUUCACACUGUGACGGUAUCUUACCAGAAAGGGACGGCUAACUACGUG
rnacentral:rRNA from 1 species